rnacentral:rRNA from 1 species
CAGUCGCCGCGGUAAUACGAAGGGGGCUAGCGUUGUUCGGAGCUACUGGGCGUAAAGCGCACGUAGGCGGAUUUUUAAGUCAGGGGUGAAAUCCCGAGGCUCAACCUCGGAACUGCCUUUGAUACUGGAGAUCUUGAGUUCGGAAGAGGUUGGUGGAACAGCUAGUGUAGAGGUGAAAUUCGUAGAUAUUAGCUAGAACACCAGUGGCGAAGGCGGCCAACUGGUCCGAUACUGACGCUGAGGUGCGAAAGCGUGGGGAGCAAACAGGAUUAGAUACCCGAGUAGUCCCUGUCUCUUAUAC